UGCAGAACCAUCUGCCCAAGCCUUCAGUUUUCGUUUCCAUCGUUCGCCCCCUUCGUUGCCUUCUUCUUUCCAUACGCUUCCAUUGUUCAACUGUUUCCUUGCCUUCUUCUCUUUUGAUUCGAAAAUCAAUCUCUAUCUAAAAGCUGUGCGCACGGGUAACGCCGCCGUCGGCGUACGUGGCACCGACACCAUCGUUCUCGGCGUCAAAAAGAAGUCCACAGCAAGCUCCAGGACUCCAGUGAUUUACAGGGCCUGUUUGGAAUUCAAAGGAAAAUUGAGCAAAUUGAGUCAUUAUUAUGCUUGGAUUCAACAGGAAAGAGAGCAUCUUUGUCAACAUCAGACAGUCUAUGUGUUCUUUUCUUACUAUGAUGACUUCUAAUGAUGUUGAUGACUGAUGGAGAGGGAAAAACAUAGGAGAAUGGUUUUGCAAGAUGAUAGUAGUGUCUGAGAGCGUCAAGAGGAGGCUGUGAGUAGAAGGCGGUUCUUUGCAGGCUAGACAAGCAAAAGUUCCCUCUCUGGACUUGCUCCACUUGAAGCAGUGCUAUUUGAUAUUGAUAGAACUCCAUGUGAUUUAGAUCCCAUUCAUUUCAAUGCCUUCCACAAAAUGCUU